ACUUCACUGAUUCACUCAGGUGGAGGAGAUCAGACGAAUUGGGGAAAACAAAACCCAGACUCUGAAAAAAGUUGAAUCCUUCGCUCAACAAUUGUUUUCACCAACCGAAGGAACACGAAAAGUUCCGGGAAGGAUUGGAGCAAGUGGCUAACAUAUUCCUGGAAUCUGGCCUUUCCUUUGCCACGGGUUAAGUAUUGUCAAUCUGACAGUCCUAAUUCUUUUUCCAUCAUUCCUGAUGAGCAAUAACGUUCUGCACAUUUGUGUUGGAUACUAAAGAAUCUUAUGGCCUGUCGAAGCGUUAGUAGUUGUUGUAUCUCAAGUAUCCUUGUAACUGCAAUGGAGUUCUUUUUCUACCGCAGUGUGGAUCUUUUUUUUUUCUUCUUUUUCAUUCUGAUUACUUUCGAGGACUAGUUCUAGUAACCUCGAGUCCUCGAUAAUUGUAAUCCUUAAUACUCCCUCCGUUUAUGGAAAAGUGUUGGCCUAAUUUUAGGUUAAAAUGAAAAAGUGAAAGUAACAUUUUUCCAGAAACGGAGGUAGUAUAAUAUCAGAGUUUGGUUUAAAGGGUUAAGUAUAAAAUGCAUUUUCAAGGUGAGAA